CACGUAGGCACCAAGCGUUGUCCGGAUUUAUUGGGCGUAAAGAGCUCGUAGGCGGUUCGGUAAGUCGGGUGUGAAAACUCUGGGCUCAACCCAGAGCCGCCACCCGAUACUGCUGUGACUUGAGUUCGGUAGGGGAGCGGGGAAUUCCUGGUGUAGCGGUGAAAUGCGCAGAUAUCAGGAGGAACACCUGAGGCGAAGGCGGGCUACUGGGCUGAUACUGACGCUGAUGCGCGAAAGCCAGGGGAGCAAACGGG
rnacentral:rRNA from 1 species